UCACAGCGUUCAACAGGUUAUCUAAGAUGUGUACAUCAGACGGAAUUAUAUGUGGCUUUGUUCUAUUUUGAACGGAAGCAAUGGUGUUCCAAUUACAAUUGAUCUACGUAUGUGCUCUGUCAACAAGAUGGAUUGUGUUAUUGUUGUACAGUUUCCUCCUUGUAGGUGUCCCGGAUGGGGUCCAAUGUCGGUUGUGCCGCAGUGGUUAUGACGACCGAUGUCCUGGAAUGUGUUCCUCGAACAACCACUACUGUUGGCCAGGGAUAUGCAGAGAUGGUCUAACCAAGUACUGCUCUUGCGCAGCGGGGUUUAACAAAGUUUCAUAUUCUUUGGAAACAUCAUGUCAACCAACUAAGAAACCAUCAAUCGUAACAUGUGACACUGUGGUCGUUGGACCAAACGGUGAAAAGAAAAAAGCAAGGUCAUCGAGUAGUUCAAUCGCGUGUCAGUAUUUACAAGAUAUGUAUGGAAACUAUCAGCCGACGAUGGUGCAGUUUAAGAUGAGCUCUGAUUACACAAAUAACAUUCCCAGCUAUUUGAUCCGCCCUUCAUAUAUUAUUGAAGAAGGGUUCGGAAUAACGGACGCAACAGUAUAUAUGCAACGGCAAACCGUAUCAGGUUCGCUCACAACUUUAUCAACAAACAGACGACUUAUAGAUAGAUAUUCUAGUCAGUAUGUUAGGAGAACAUUUGUUGAUUUACAUCAGCUUACGACUACAUACACAUUCGCAAAUGGUCAGGCGUUGUGUUUGAAAUACCAAGUAAAAGCUGGUGGUUUCUUGAGAGCCAAAUAUAUAAAAAAACAAACUGUUCUCAGCGCUAAGCCUUACCAAAAAACUGUGACACAACAAACUCUCUGCUAUCGCUAUGACAGCCAACCACCUGAACACUGUUCAAUACUAUCAAGAUGUAGCUCUGAACCUCUUCAUCUCGACAAACAGAUAACGCGAUCAUAUCUCCACAACGUCGAGUUUCACGGUUGGAUGGAUCCUGUUCCAUCACGGGGAGCCGCGCGCACAGCUUCAUCCAUUGAGAGCUACGAAAUUCGGGUAAAUGAGGUAAUGCCAUCGAAAGGGAAAUUAAAGGUUAAUUACCUUUUUAACGUUAAAAGUUUAAUAGUUAAACACACAGUUAAAAGCAUGGAUCUAAAUCUAAUCUCGGACGCACCAAGGCUCUAUUGUUUUACUCUGGAUGUUAAGGAUGUUGCAGACAAUGUUCGACAGUGUCGCCGCUUUGUCCUAUUUGAUAACACUUCGUCCAUUCAAAUUUGGAAUGAAAAGCCAUUUAGAUUUACAUCUGCCUCACCUGAAACAGAUUACACAUGGCAAACCCAUCACAACGAUAUCUGCAUAAGCUGGAAAGAUUACUUUUACAACGAUUUUUACAUACAUAAUGAACUUCUGAAUCCUAUUGAGUCCGACCCGCAUGGUCUCAUUACCGACUCAUAUGAGCAAACAACUGGGGAGAUACCUGUUUCUGGAACAUUAAAUGUGUAUGGUAUAAUUGCAUACCAUAUAUCGUGGAGCCUGAAUCACGGUAAAUUCUCUGAAGAACAACCUGUCACUUCAUUAAAAAAUCAAUCAUUUUGCAAGGAUUUCAAUGUUACUGAUGGAGAUACAUACACACUGAACAUAAAAGCUAUUGAUAUAGCUGGAAAUACCCUUAGCGAUAACCGAACUGUAUUUAUUGAUGACUCUGCACCACACCUCCAUGACCUUUGGCUUAUAGAAGACAUGAAAAGAUACGAAAAGCUCUAUGUACAUAAAAGCAUGGACUUGUCCAAAUUGAAAAUGACGUUUGCAGCACUUGAUCCACAUAGCGGCUUAUUUAAAGUACAAUGGACGUUUGCAAUAGCCGACACAAUGACCGAGCUUCUAAGUGAGCACCAUGCUGUUAUGACCACGAAUGAUUCAUGCUCAUCAGAUGAAUGCUACUGCCCAGAUAUUGGUUCCUGUGCAUAUAUUAACUACACAAUACCACUCGACAAAUUAAGUGUUAAGAAUACGCAUAAUGGCACUCAAAACAGAACCUAUUAUUUUACUGUCAAAGUAACAAACAUGGCUGGGCUUUCAACAACGGAACAAAUAGACAUGCUUGUUGAUGAAUGGCCUUCUUCAGAUGGUAAGUUGAACACAAUUCAUAUAAUAAAUACACUGCUUGAAUUUCUCAUUAUACAAACUGCAACUAAUGCCAAUUAUGCAUUCGAUGUAUUAUUACGGCCUUGUAGUAGAUCGUGCAGCGCUCGAUUACAAGUCAUAUACGGUUCAUAUGAAGGGGACUACUUCAUUUCUUUGCCGGAGUUUCGGGGAAUCACUGAACUGUGAAAGGGGAAUAAAAACAGAUUAUCAUUCAUUGCUCAUAUUAGGCGCGUGCAGACCGGUAAGCAAAUUGUACAUUUUUUUUGGCGGGAAACAAAAUAUGUAUGAACUAAGAUUAAUAUGUAUGUAUUCGCAUUUAUAUAAACAGUCGCCGUCUGUCAAUCAAAACAAACGCUCAUCCAAUGAUAUAUCGAUUCUGGAUACACCAUCAGCAUCGCAUCCGCGCCAUUUUUCCGUCUGCAUUAUCCAAAUUUUGGAUUCUCUUCUACUUUUGGUCGAGUUGGUUAAAUGAUGUCAUAGGGGUGUAUCUAUUCUGACAGCCGAUACCCAGAAGGAUUGGUAGGUGGUGUGUAAAUUAAUCCAUUCCCGAAGCUUUAAAAAUGAGCGGUUUCACUAAACAAUUGACUGUACAGAACAUAGACGGAAACUGCGACAUAUUUUGCAUAUACCAAGGUAUACGGUGCAGGACUUUUUUAACCCAGUCUCGAGCGAUGUUUGAUAUUUAACCUUAGAAUGCUCAAGGUCGUAGGUAACCGAUUAAAAUGUUUUAAGUUAUAAAAUAAUUAUUGACAAUCUUACUUCAUGCCAUCAAUGUAUUGAGUUAUUCAACAGGUACUGAUUUUAAGAGAUGUACAGUUAUGUACAAAGUAAAUCUAAAUAUAGAUGCUAAGCUGGUAUUGUCAUUUGCAAAAUGUUUGUACAUUAUCAAAUAUGAUUGUAAGUUAUCAAUUAUUAGACACGGCCUGGGGGCCGCGUCUAUAGGGAUACAUGUUUGCAAUUGUCAAUGGGGAAGUGUAUACGGAUAAAUUUUAGUUAUGAAUAAAAGAAGAUUUGUUAAUGAUAUCAACUCUUAUUCAACUUUACUUAAAUUUUUUCAUCAAUAACCGUUGGAGGUAGCCGUUGAUGCGUGUAAAACUUCCAAAACGUCAUAUAAAACGAAUAAGCCUAAUGUUUAAAACAGGAAAUUAAAAAAGGUUAUUCUCUGUGUUUUUGUAUUGAUUGGUCGCCGGUCAUACGAGUUCGUUAUUUUAGAAAUUUUAUUUCUGUGAAAACGAUUUAUAUACACGCUGUGGUAGUAAAUAAGCAUGUGAGAAUUUACGGGCAUAUUGUGAAUAAUAGUUUAAAUUAUUUAUAAGUGCCUUAACACGACAUUAUUUGCCUAUUUUAAAUUUAAGUGAUAUAAAAUGGAAGUACAAAGCAUAAUUCACACGAUUUUACUAACAAAUAUAAGUCGCAAUAACGAAAUUAACACAAUUUAAAUUUAACUGAUGUAAAAUGAAAGUUCAAAGUGUAAUUCACGCGAUUUAAAACAAACAUUAAUGAAUAAAAGUAGGCCGAAAUGAUAUCUCGGCCGAAUCGACCCGACACCAAUAAUUUUAUCGGUGAUAAUGCAGGGUACUUGUCUAAAUAAUUUACGCAUGCCGGGGACGAUCGAGUAACUACGAUCUAAAAAGUUGAUUAAACCGUCAUAGUUCGGCUAUGUCCGUGUUUAUUCGGAAUGUUAACACUUGAAUAUAUUGUUACAUGACUUUAUUAACCCUAUUGGGUAUCGAUAUUUUGCACAUGACACAACUAUUCAGCGUUCUCCUACAUCUUUUUGCGGGGAAAGAAAACGCGAAAACUGAUUAUGGUAAGAGGUGUUGUACCGCUAUGGCUCUGGUUGCAUUAUUAGCCUGUUUUAGUUACGAACACAACCACAUGUCCUCAUUAACGGCUGUCGAUGUAGACUGUAUACUGAAUGAGGGAAAUGCUUUGUAUUCUACCAUAGUUGAAAGUAUAAACGAGGCUCGAUAUUUAUCGCAUAAUGAUUUGCCAACAUCCGUUAGGUUAAGAAAUGAUUUUGUCCGCAAUAUAUGCUUAAUGUUUACUAUGGUAACGUAAACGGUGAUAAUGACGUCCAUUUGGGUCAAUCCCCAUGUUUCAUGAACAUCAAUAGAUAUAUAUUAAUAUUCAAUAAAACCCAUUCAGCCGAGUCUUUGAUGCCUAACAUCAACAUUCGUCUUGUUAUCCCUUGUAUCUAUUCUUAAGUAAACGUGGAAGGAUAAAGUGCGUUGGUAGUGGAUUCGCCGGAUCACUUGCAAAACGCCCAAACCAACAGAAAAACCGGGUGACUGGUUCUUCCCAACAAAUAAAUUAUACAACCCUAUUAACCUUUUAGGCCGACAGAGGCACUCCUACCGUUUACCGCUGCCACCAUUAAAAUAAACUAUAGAGGAAAGUGCCUGGAGUUGGGAUUGAACCCACAACUGCCGAAACACUAGCACAGCGCUCAUACCAACUGAGUUAACAGGGCAGCUGGUUAUUACCCACACACACUACCAUGCAUUAGACAGAUUGUUUCCAAAUUCUAUUUUAACUUGGAAUAUCAAGAUUUUUUUCAGCAAAACGGAAAAGUAGCCUGAUCGUGCUCGGAGUGUUCGAACUAUCCUGUUACCUUGACAACCAGUCAUACCCCCAUGCGAAAAUCGCCCUGUUCAACUACCUACGUAAAGACGACGGAUAUUGACAGAAAUGACGACAGUAUCAGUAUCUAGCAUAGCAAUGUGUACCUGAACAGAAAUAACUAAAUAUUCAAGGAAGCCAACAGAGGACAAACAUCAAUGUUUCACCUUAAAGACCACAGGAACAUUGAAUGAAGAGGAUAAAGGCAAAUAAUGAGGGUUCCAAAAAAAGAAAACGGAGGGAUUUCUUUGAAACAAAAUUAAAUUCGUCGAUGAUGACGAAUGGAUGUGGAUAAUGUUAGGAUUAUCUCAUGCGCGGUUCUGUAAGGCCCGGGGGAUGAUGACGAACCAGCCAGAUAUUAAAUUGGUGUAACGCAACGUCUGAUUCUGGUGUGCCAAUAAGUUUAUCCACGAAGCAGUCAAGCAACGUGAGACGACGACAUGCAGCUAUGAAUCAGAUACUUCAGGUGGAUGAAGAUGUUAGUCACUCCUAGAACUUGCAUAGUGGACUUGCCAGGUAAAUGGGCUUCCUUUUAGACAUCAUCGAAAUGUAAAGGUAAAUGUAACUUGAUAUAAUUCUUUAAGUGCAUAAGGAAAAAAUGGCUGUUAUAUAUUUGACCGAAAUGGCUAUUGCUGCUUUGUAUGCAUUUCACAAAAUCUAAAACUUGUUAUCUACUCUGUCUGGGCAUAAAUGUUACUAAAAUGCUGUCACAACAGUAAGAAAAUGGUGUCAAGUAUCAAUAUGGUUUUAAAGUUGAAUCAAAGACAGGAGCGUUUUGUUUGCAUAAGGCUUAACAUAAGAACGCAAAUUUAAACAUUUUAAGUUACCAGUAUAAAUAUGUAAACUAUCAUAGCCCUUGGAAGUCUGUAAAUUAGUUAAUUUAUUGCGAUCACAUGUUGUGUAUUUGAUUUUUCAUCAGCUGCCAGUUCCUUGUGUUAUUAAAUAGGGACAGUUUACAACUUUAAAUCCCGAUUAGUUUUGGUAUGAGGCGUAUAAUAAAACUGACUAUGACCUCAGGCUAGUGAUACAAGUAAUAUCUGAGAGAAAAUGUAUUAUAAACCUUUCACCAAAGGAUUUGACAUUUGUUUUAUCUGAGUUAAUGUAAUAUUUUCUGAGAUAUUAAACUGAAAGAAACAACACAAAUUGCUUAUCUUAAGUACACUUUAUUUCAAAGCAAUCAUUCAUUUCUUCAUUCUUUUUCCGUUGUUGGGGAUGACACGAGAGUUGCAUAAAACUGUACUCGGUUCGAUUGUCCGACAGAUGUCUGCGUACACAGGACCUAUACAACUUUACAGAACACAUAAUGGUAUUGCUUCUUCGCCGUAUCUGGAAUGGCGUCUAGAUACAUUUUCCCUGUACCCUACGUUCUCUUGUGAAUGCCUUAGUUAUAAACUACGCCGUUUACAAAUACAAGAUGCGGACAAUAAUCUCAAGAUUGACAUUAACAAGCAUGCGUACAACAAUGCCGGUCAUUAUCUUUCUCUAAUAACUGAUGCAUUUAUAUGACAUGGAGAUACGUGCGUCCGUGUCAAAUUACGUUGGUCAAUUGCGGAAAAGGCAAUUGCUAUGGCAUUCUAUCAAUGGACGUUAGUUAGCUCACGACGAAGAGGGGCGAAGGAUCCUUCUCACGUGACAAUCUAUUAUCUAUCGAUAUAACGAGUUGGUAACGGACACAUCGCCACCCACGGAGGGAAAAACAAUGAGCUAGUCGUUUCAAUGUUUGAAAUUACAGGGAAAACAUGCAUGGUUACACCCCGCGUUUUGAAAUGCAGAUGGACCUUGGUUAUUAAGCUGACAUAUACACGAUUCAAAGCAGCAUUUAUUGAGGAGUUGUCAAGGCCAUUGAUGCCACGGGACAUAAAAGUGACAUUAUGGUAUCACCAGGGGUAAUCAUCGAUCCUCUUCCACCCAAAGGCUACGAUUGUAAUCUAUUGUAACCGAUUUGAACAAGUUAAGGUCAUUGCAUUGUUAGAUAAUUUGAAGGAUAAUCGGACGAAGGCAAUUGUUGCAAGUUAGACAAAGAUGCAUUUGAUAGAAUGAGAGGAUUUAUCGAAAAUACUUUUGUAGACUCAGUUAUUCUUCAAAUCAAUCGUUUCAUGACCAGAGUCCAAACUGCUCUAAAUUAUAAACACAUUACUGCAAAUGAUAAUACUAAUUUCAAAAAAACAUCUUAGAAACAAUUUAUUGACAAAACAAAUGUGCGUCUUUUAUUGUAAACAAGCAAAGCUUUUCGUGUUCAGCAAAUAAGACUGGAUAAAUGUUCACUUGAAGACAGUGGCAACUGCUAGAGGACUUACAUUACACAAUACAGAAACAUCAAACGUACACAUCAGGGCUACAUACAAUGGACAACAUAGCCUCCCUAUUCACCAUCAUCCAUCCUCCUGCCUUGUCAGGAUUUGCGAUGGAGAGUACAAACAUUUUAGUUUAAAAAUUAUUUAUUUUACAACGAUUGUGAAGGAAGUUAUGAAAAGUUAUACUAAGUCACUUUCGUUGGCACGAUGUUGCGCGAGAUUGGUGUCUUGUGUUGUAGGGGAAACAUGAGUGCCCGGAGAAAACCCACUUGUGCACUUGUUCGGCUUGGUGACCACUAAACAAAUUCGCCUUGGUGAGAAGCGAGUGCGCUAAACACUGCGCUAACCGGGAAAUCAAACAUGUUCAAAGAUAGCAUUAUAUAAUCAUGGAAUUCCAAUGCUUGCAUCUAGUAACAAACAUUCCAUACACUUCCGGGAAUUCCAGUUUUGCAUAGCCCCGUUGUGGGAUCAAAAAAAGGAUUCACCGAUUCUUGACUUCUACUAUUACACCGCACAUAUGUAUGACAUUUUGGCUCCGUCAUCUACGAUAAUUUCUCCGAAGAUAUCAGAGUUAUUCCUUACUAUAACAUGAUUGUACAUAUCCAGUACGGAUUUAGAGUGCUCACAGGACAAUAUUCACAAUGUAAUAAUUUACUUGUUCUAUGUCUUUGGCGUUUACCCAGUGUCAUUAAACCAGGUUUAUGUUUGAACCUUUUGCUACUGAGCUUGUUUCUGUAGUUUUUGAAAUAGGUAUUGGUAGUGGAAAAGCGUAACUGUUGCAAAUCUGUUGUUUUUUAUAGUUCAUUAUUUAGCUUUCAAUAUAUUCAUAGCUGUGCCUUACUGUAGUUUGAUGUUUUAUCUUAAUUUUGUUCUUGAAAUUUAUUUAUUUUUGAUAUCAUGUAUCAUUUAAACGUCAACUGUCGUUCGUGUAUUUGCUGUAUAAUCAUCUAUGCUAGUGUUUAUAGUUCUUUUGGCUUAGAUUUCCAUUGAUUUACUUUUUAUAUGGUCGCGUUGCUGUCUGUUUUUAAACAACGUUGAAACAAGUUUGAUUGUCGUUUCUUUUAAUAACCUAAUAAAUAUCUGUGUGUGGUA